UCGGAGGGAGACCCCGAGGCGGACCGGAGCGCCUGACGUCGCGCCCCAUGGCCGAGUCUGCCGGGCAGUCACCGGCCGGCCGCAAGGCCCGGGCCCACCGCGCCUCUCGAAAGGCCGCAGGUACUAAACAGAAAAGUACCUUGAAACAGGAAGAUGCUUCUAAAAGGAAAGCAGAACUAAAAGAGACUGUGAGAAAGAAGAUUGAGUUUGAGAGAAAAGCUCUACAUAUUGUUGAACAACUUUUAGAAGAGAAUAUUACAGAAGAAUUCUUAAUGGAGUGUGGGAAGUGUAUCACACCUGCUCACUACAGCGAUGUCGUGGAUGAACGUUCUAUUAUCAAGCUCUGUGGUUAUCCCUUAUGUCACAAGAAGCUAGGAAUAGUACCAAAACAGAAAUAUAAAAUUUCUACCAAAACCAAUAAAGUUUAUGAUAUUACUGAAAGAAAGUGUUUUUGCAGCAAUUUUUGUUAUAAAGCAUCUAAGUUUUUUGAAGCACAAAUUCCUAAAACUCCAGUAUGGGUUCGAGAAGAAGAAAGGCACCCUGAUUUUCAGCUGCUACAGGAGGGACAAAGUGGCCAUUCUGGAGAAGAAGUACAGUUAUGCAGUAAGACCAUUAAAACAUCAGAUGUUGACAAUCCUGGCCAUAUUGAGAAGCAAUAUGAAUCUAAUUCUUCUAGCAUUCAUAGUGAUAGUAGCAGUGAUAAUGAGCAAGACUUUGUUUCCUCCAUUCUACCAGGAAACAGACCAAAUGCAAUGGGUACAAGGCAACAGCUGCACAUAAAAAGCAUCAUGAAAAAGAAAGCUCGUCAAAAAUCUAACUUCAAGCAAAAAGACAAAAAACAGGCAGUAAUAAGUAUUACUGAGCAGUUAGGCAAUUGCAGAUUAGAUAGUCAGGAGAAAGCUGCUACUUGUGAACUUCCUUUACAGAAGGAAAAUACUCUGGUUUCUUUAAAUAGUCCUUCGAGAGAAAACUUAGAUGCUUCAGAAAUUCCUGAAAAUAAAUACAAUAGUUCAGAAAUAACUUUAGUAGGCAUAAGUAAGAAAAGUGCUGAACAUUUUAAGAGGAAAUUUGUCAAAUCAAACCAAGUUUCUAGGUCAGCUUCUAGUUCAGUGCAGGUGUGUCCUGAAGUUGCGAAGGCAAACUUACUUAAAGUUCUGAAGGAGACUUUGAUUGAGUGGAAGACAGAAGAAACUUUGAGGUUUUUAUAUGGUCAGAAUUAUGCUUCUGUGUGUCCAAAACCCUCUUCAGACCCUCUGGUUAAAGAAGAAGAGCUUGAUGAAGAUGACAUAAACUCUGACCCAGAUAGUCAUUCCCCCACCUUGCGGGAAUCUCAGGACAGCUUGGAUGAGUCUUUGCCUUUCAGGGCCUCAGAUACAGCCAUUAAACCACUGCCAAGUUAUGAGAGCUUGAAAAAGGAAACUGAAACAUUAAACCUAAGGAUCAGAGAGUUUUAUAGAGGACAGUAUGUUUUAAAUGAAGAAACCACCAAAUCACAAGACUCAGAAGAGCAUGAUCCCACCUUUCCACUGAUAGAUUCAAGUUCUCAGAACCAGAUUAGAAAACGCAUCGUACUCGAAAAAUUGAGUAAAGUAUUGCCUGGACUUUUGGGGCCUCUUCAGAUUACAUUAGGAGAUAUUUACACACAACUUAAAAAUCUUGUUCGAACUUUCAGAUUAACAAAUAGAAAUAUUAUACACAAACCUGCAGAAUGGACCUUAAUUGCUAUGGUGUUGCUGUCAUUACUGACGCCGAUUCUUGGCAUUCAGAAGCAUUCUCAGGAAAAUAUGGUGUUUACACAGUUUCUAGCUACCCUGCUUGAAGAAUUACAUUUAAAAAAUGAAGACCUUGAAAAUUUAACCAUCAUAUUUAGAACCGGCUGUUAAAUUGAGUGAAUCUGGACAUAGUUUAACAUGGAGCCUCUGGCUCAGAGUCUCUCAAUGAGGUUGCAGUUAAGCUAUCUGCCAGGACUAUGAUGUCAUCUGAAGGCCCAAAUGGAAGAAGAUCCCCUUCUCCAAGCUCAUUCAUGUGGUUGUUGGCAGGAUUAGUUCCUCACAGGUUAUUGAACUCAGGGCCUCAGUUUCUCACUGAACCUUGUCUAGAGACCUCUUCCAGUUCCUUGCCACAUGGAUCUCUACAGUGCACCUCACAACUUGGCAUGUGGCUUCCCUCAGAGAGAGACAGUACCCAAGGUGGAAGCCACACUCUUUUUGUAACUAAUCUCAGAAGUGACAUCCCAUUACUUCUGCUGUACCAUGACCAGUUAGAAACUAAUCACCAGGUCUAGCCCACACUUAAGAUGUACUUCAUGAAGAAUGAAUAGAAAAUGAACUGUACACCAUUUCUAGAAUUCUGGCCACAAUAAUGGUCUGGUGAUGACUGACAGCUAGCUUUGUUCCAAGAAAAACCUUUACCUUCUCAGAUUUCAACCCCUUCCCUCCCAGCCCCUAACUAUACAGAGUGACUUCCCAGGUAUAGAGGAACCAUUAUUCCAACAAGGAUAUAAAAGUCCUUGCAUCCUUGGCUAUAAGACAUAGGAUUUUUAUCUGAAAAUAAAUAUUUAAGAAAAUA